ACGAACGCUGGCGGCAGGCCUAACACAUGCAAGUCGAGCGGUUGACGGGAGCUUGCUCCCUGAUUCAGCGGCGGACGGGUGAGUAAUGCCUAGGAAUCUGCCUAUUAGUGGGGGACAACGUUUCGAAAGGAACGCUAAUACCGCAUACGUCCUACGGGAGAAAGCAGGGGACCUUCGGGCCUUGCGCUAAUAGAUGAGCCUAGGUCGGAUUAGCUUGUUGGUGAGGUAAUGGCUCACCAAGGCGACGAUCCGUAACUGGUCUGAGAGGAUGAUCAGUCACA
rnacentral:rRNA from 1 species